CAGAAUAAGCAGCUUACUUAAAGAUAGCACAUAUAAGAUCACAUAUACCUAAAUUACAGUGUGCUAUGUACAGUGUAAGAGAUAUAUGUAAGAGUUACAUGGGAAAUCUAGAUCAAUGACUGAAGUCAAGGCAACCCUAAGAUUCCAGACAACUCUAGGGGUUUCUGGACAUAGGUAUUGCCGAGAGAAGUCACAAAUCUAGAGUUUAAGGCUUGGUUACAAAAAAUCUCACAGUACAGGCUGAUGAAUAUAUGUAACUCGAAUGAUAUGGAACGAACUCACCAAAGAAACCUUGUUAGGGUUUCACGAAAAUAACAAAUUCAUUAGAACCAGUGCAAGAAUCCUUGAAUCUACCAACAUCGACGCCAAGAACUACCGUCAACUUGCUCUGAUACCACUGUUACGGCAAGUUCAAAUUAUUAGCCCACUUCAAUCAACAAAAAUAAUAAACUACAGUAAAGGGAAUGAAAGAAAAAACGCAGAAAACACAAGAAAGAACACAGUAUUUUCGCCCUAAGGCAAGAGGUUCGGAAUCGGAGUCCCUAAUCCCCUUUUGAGCUUCCACCACCGGAAGAAACCACUAUAAUAAUCGGAAUCAAUAAAGGUACAGUUCACAGUUCAUGGCACUUAGACGAAAUCACACCAAGAUUUCGUAUACAACAAACCCACAGAAUGUACAUCGAACAUCCACUCAAGGAUUGAACCAUAUAAACCACUCAAGAUCUACAAUAGGCUGUAACAAAAUCGAUCUACAAAGGGCUUUUGAUUAAGUGCUUAAAAUGAAACGAAGAAGCAGUGAACUCGAGAGAACAGAGGGCUGCAGAGAGAGAAGAGAGAGGCUGAGUAAAAAUGAAAUCCAUCAGCCGUCCAAACCCUAGAAGCCAGUACAAAUAGAAGCAACUAGAAGGUCGGUCAUCCACGGUGAGGAGAGUGACACUUGGCAAGAUCAGGAGCGUCUGUUCUUAUUAAUAAAAACGGGUUUUAAACAAAACACGUUUUUAUCACAAUCCGAUCAGCCCAUUUAGCCAAGUUCAAGUGACAAGUGAUCCAAUCCACAAGCCCAUAAGUAUUAAUCCAGCCCAAUCAUCAUUGUGCCACUAUAUAAUUUUUCUCUACAAACACAAUCAAUUUUUUCAUUAAAUCACGUACCAAUGCAUAUUGUGUCAUUUUCUGGCACACAAAUAUUAUUCAAUUCGUCACGCGUGGCUGUCAAAUUUCGCUUGGAGAGUUGGAUAUUCACAUACCUGACAAAUCAAACCAAUAUAAACCUGCCUCUAAAUUUUCUGAGGAAACUUCGUGGAAGCUCACUCAUGGCUUCUGCACUCUCCACCCAUAUAUAUCUCUCAUUUCUUCUUCUUCAUUUCACCCUCAAACGCUUAUCUCAUUUUCACCAUGAAACUCAUCAAAAAUCUUCCCAAAAAGCUCUUGAUGAGAAAGAAAUCUCGCUCCAUUCCUGGAUUCGAAUCUGACCCUGCUUCCUUCAGUUCCU
rnacentral:lncRNA from 1 species